AUUUGGGGGUUUCUUCGCGGGGUGUCCAGGUUCCACCGCUUGCAGGGGAUGUUCUCGCUGCGGUUCCACGCGGCAGCCUCCUUCACCCUGUAUUAUGCCCUGAGGAAGUGCUGGGAGGUGAGGGGCUUCUGGCUGCUCCUGGGGCUCUACAGCGUCCCCCCUGCCAUCACCGAGCUGCUGCUGCUGGUGGUGGCCGCCCUGGGCCGCAGGGGGAACCUGUGAGCAGGGGGGGCAAAAAAUGUGGGGGUCCUUAAUUAUUGGGACCCCAUUUUUUUU